CCGGGCCCAUUAAUACCUAACCUACCCUAGGUGCUUCCACUUGCACCGCCUCUCCUCCACCUGCUCCCAUCACCUCCUUGAACACCUGCAAACAUGACGGAAGCAGCAACAGAAGCAGAAACGCAGCAAACAGUAACAAAACAACAAUAGGACUUUGUAUAAUCGGCUAUAAAGAGCCAUUCAUUUUCAAUGUAAAAAGGAGGGG
rnacentral:lncRNA from 1 species